CGUUACCUAAACCGUUGCUUCGGCGGGCGGCCCCGGGGUUUACCCCCCGGGCGCCCCUGGGCCCCACCGCGGGCGCCCGCCGGAGGUCACCAAACUCUUGAUAAUUUAUGGCCUCUCUGAGUCUUCUGUACUGAAUAAGUCAAAACUUUCAACAACGGAUCUCUUGGUUCUGGCAUCGAUGAAAACGCAGCGAAAUGCGAUAAGUAAUGUGAAUUGCAAAUUCAGUGAAUCAUCGAAUCUUUGAACGCACAUUGCGCCCGCCAGUAUUCUGGCGGGCAUGCCUGUUCGAGCGUCAUUUCAACCAUCAAGCCCCCGGGCUUGUGUUGGGGACCUGCGGCUGCCGCAGGCCCUGAAAAGCAGUGGCGGGCUCGCUGUCACACCGAGCGUAUACAUACAUCUCGCUCUGGGCGUGCUGCGGGUUCCGGCCGUUAAACCACCUUUUAACCCAAUGUUGACCUCGGAUCAUGUAGGAAUACCCGCUGAACUUAAGCAUAUCAAUAAACGGAGGAAAAAAAACCAACAGGGAUUGCCCUAUAACGGCGAGUGAAGCGGCAACAGCUCAAAUUUGAAAUCU
rnacentral:rRNA from 1 species